AUUGAACGCUGGCGGCAGGCCUAACACAUGCAAGUCGAACGGUAGCACGGAGAGCUUGCUCUCGGGUGACGAGUGGCGGACGGGUGAGUAACGUCUGGGAAACUGCCCGAUGGAGGGGGAUAACUACUGGAAACGGUAGCUAAUACCGCAUAACGUCGCAAGACCAAAGUGGGGGACCUUCGGGCCUCACACCAUCGGAUGUGCCCAGAUGGGAUUAGCUAGUAGGUGGGGUAAUGGCUCACCUAGGCGACGAUCCCUAGCUGGUCUGAGAGGAUGCACGGCCACACUGGAACUGAGACACGGUCCAGACUCCUACGGGAGGCAGCAGUGGGGAAUAUUGCACAAUGGGCGCAAGCCUGAUGCAGCCAUGCCGCGUGUAUGAAGAAGGCCUUCGGGUUGUAAAGUACUUUCAGCGGGGAGGAAGGCGGUGAAGUUAAUAGCUUCACCGAUUGACGUUACCCGCAGAAGAAGCACCGGCUAACUCCGUGCCAGCCGCCGCAGUAA
rnacentral:rRNA from 1 species